rnacentral:rRNA from 1 species
CAAUGGACGGUACAACGAGUCGCAAACUCGCGAGAGUAAGCUAAUCUCUUAAAGCCGUUCUCAGUUCGGACUGUAGGCUGCAACUCGCCUACACGAAGUCGGAAUCGCUAGUAAUCGCGGAUCAGCAUGCCGCGGUGAAUACGUUCCCGGGCCUUGUACACACCGCCCGUCACACCAUGGGAGUUUGUAACGCCCAAAGUCGGUGGCCUAACCUUUAUGGAGGGAGCCGCCUAAGGCGGGACAGAUGACUGGGGUGAAGUCGUAACAAGGUACC